AGAGUUUGAUCCUGGCUCAGGAUGAACGCUGGCGGCGUGCCUAACACAUGCAAGUCGAACGAAGCACUUUCUUUUGAUUCUUCGGAUGAAGAAGACUGUGACUGAGUGGCGGACGGGUGAGUAACGCGUGGGUAACCUGCCCCAUACAGGGGGAUAACAGUUAGAAAUGACUGCUAAUACCGCAUAAGCGCACAGCUUCGCAUGAAGGUGUGUGAAAAACUCCGGUGGUAUGGGAUGGACCCGCGUCUGAUUAGGUAGUUGGUGGGGUAACGGCCUACCAAGCCGACGAUCAGUAGCCGGCCUGAGAGGGUGGACGGCCACAUUGGGACUGAGACACGGCCCAAACUCCUACGGGAGGCAGCAGUGGGGAAUAUUGCACAAUGGGGGAAACCCUGAUGCAGCGACGCCGCGUGAAGGAAGAAGUAUUUCGGUAUGUAAACUUCUAUCAGCAGGGAAGAAAAUGACGGUACCUGACUAAGAAGCCCCGGCUAACUACGUGCCAGCAGCCGCGGU
rnacentral:rRNA from 1 species